GGUCAAAUUAUGAAGGGCUUACGGUGGAUGCCUUGGGACCAAGGGCCGAAGAAGGACGCGGUAAGGCUGCGAAAAGCCUCGAUGAGCCGUCUAACAGGCGUAAUCGGGGGUCUCCGAAUUGGGUAACCUGUUCCGGCGUUGAGUCGGUCCACCCGCUCCGGCGGGAGGUAAGUGGGGGAACUGAAACAUCUAAGUACCCCGAGGAAAAGAAAUCAACCGAGAUUCCCUCAGUAGUGGCGAACGAACGGGGAAGAGCCUAAACCGCAACGACCGAACGGCAUGAGGGCCUAUGUCGUUGCGGGGUUACAGGACGUUUCUGGAGUCGCCUCAUCAGGCUCCAAGGAGUUACAAACUUCAUUUCUAGCCGAAGGACCCUGGGAAGGGCCGCCGAAGACGGUGACAGCCCGGUAGGCGAAAGGAAUGAAGCUCCUGAAGCAGAUCCUAAGUACCAUGGGGCACGUGAAACCUUGUGGGAAGUUGGGGGGACCACCCUCCAAGGCUAAAUACUCUUGGUCACCGAUAGCGCACCAGUACCGUGAGGGAAAGGUGAAAAGAACCCCUGGCGGGGAGUGAAAUAGACCUGAAACCGUAAGCCUACAGAAGGUCGGAGUCCGUAUUUACGGAUGACGGCGUGCCUAUUGAAGAAUGAUCCGGGGACUUACUGUAUGGAGCGAGGUUAAGGGACUGUAGUUCCGGAGCCGUAGCGAAAGCGAGUCUGAACAGGGCGACCAGUUCCAUGUAGUAGACCCGAAACCGAGUGAGCUACCCAUGGCCAGAUUGAAGGUUCGUUAACGCGGACUGAAGGAUCGAACUCGUAGCUAGUACAAAAGCUUGGGAUGAGCUGUGGGUAGAGGUGAAAUGCCAAUCGAACUCGGAAAUAGCUGGUUCUCCCCGAAAUGCAUUUAGGUGCAGCCUCGGGAACUAGGAGGACGGAGGUAGGGCACUGAAUGGGCUAGGGGGCGUGAGCUUACCAAACUCAAUCAAACCACCAAUGCCGUUCUACCGAUACCCGGGAGUGAGACAGUCACAGAUAAGUGCGAUUGUCAAGAGGGAAACAGCCCAGACCACCGGCUAAGGCCCCCAAGAGCAGACUAAGUGGGAAACGAGGUGGGGUUCCCAAAACAGCCAGGAGGUUGGCUUAGAAGCAGCCACCCUUUAAAGAGUGCGUAAUAGCUCACUGGUCGAGGGAUCCUGCGCGGAAAAUGUAACGGGGCUUAAGUUUGCCGCCGAAGCCGUGGAUGUACAGGUACAGGCCGGAACCGACUGAGGUAGAAGUUGCCUCUUCGGAGUUGACGGAAGCUGAGGAAGGGGAAAGUCUGAGUUACGCCUGGGCAUGGUAGGGGAGCGUUCCUCGUGCGGAGAAGGCGAGUCGUGAGGCUCGUUGGAGCGCGGGGAAGUGAGAAUCCCGGAAUGAGUAGCGUAAAUCAGGGUGAGAAUCCCUGACACCGAAAGCCCAAGGUUUCCUACGCAACGUUGUUCGGCGUAGGGUUAGUCGGUCCUAAGCCGUAGGCAAGAGCCGAAGGCGAUGGACAGCAGGUUAAUAUUCCUGCACCGCCGUUGUUUCGCUUAAAACCAAGGAGGGGUGCGGGAGGCUAGGCGGGGCGUGCCCAUUGGACAUGGUGCGUCCUUGCUUGUAGGCGUUCCGGGGCAGGCAAAUCCACCCCGGUGUUAAGCUGAGGAGUGAGGGAAUCCCGACCUACGGGAACGGAGACCCCGUUGAGGCCAUACCGACAAGAAAAGCUUCGUGGUUAUGGAGCUGCGGCGACCGUACCGCAAACCGCCACUGGUGGGCUGGGAUAAAAGUCCCUAGGUGUUCGAGCUAACCUCCGCUAAGGAACUAGACAAAAGGGCCCCGUAACUUCGGGAGAAGGGGCCCCCUGGAUGGUGAAACCGCUAGCCGGUGGAGCUGUCUGGGGGCGCAGAGAAGAAGGCCGGGCGACUGUUUAACAAAAACACAGGUCUGUGCUAAGGGGAAACCCUACGUAUACAGGCUGACGCCUGCCCAGUGCCGGAAGGUUAAGGGGCGGUGUGCAAGCACCAAACUGAAGCCCCGGUGAACGGCGGCCGUAACUCUAACGGUCCUAAGGUAGCGAAGUCCCUUGUCGGGUAAGUUCCGACCCGCAUGAAUGGUUGAACGACUUGGCCAUUGUCUCGGCGGAGGGCUCGGUGAAAUUGCGGUGCCCGUGAAGACGCGGGCGACCCGCGGCAGGACAAAAAGACCCCGUGGAGCUUUACUGUAGCCUGGCAUUGGGCUGGGAGCUGUCAUGUGUAGGAUAGGUGGGAGACUUAGAAGCGCCUACGCCAGUAGGUGUGGAGUCGUCGUUGAAAUACCACCCUUGGCUGUUUUUGGUUCUAACCUCAGCAAAACUGGGGAACAGUGCUUGGUGGGCAGUUUAACUGGGGCGGUUGCCUCCAAAAAAGUAACGGAGGCGCCCAAAGGUCCUCUCAGGACGGAUGGAAAUCGUCCACAGAACGCAUUGGCAUAAGAGGGCUUGACUGCGAGACCUACAAGUCGAGCAGGGACGAAAGUCGGGCAAAGUGAUCCUACGGCACCGAGUGGAAGGGCCGUGGCUUAUCGGAUAAAAGCUACCCCGGGGAUAACAGGCUUAUCUCGCCCAAGAGUUCACAUCGACGGCGAGGUUUGGCACCUCGAUGUCGCCUCGUCCCAUCCUGGGGCUGAAGGAGGUCCCAAGGGUUCGGCUGUUCGCCGAUUAAAGGGGUACGUGAGUUGGGUUCAGAACGUCGUGAGACAGUUCGGUCUCUAUCCGCCGUGGGCGCAGGAGGCUUGAGGGAACCUUUCCCUAGUACGAGAGGACCGGGAAGGACAAACCUAUGGUGUUCCAGUUGUUCCGCCAGGAGCAGUGCUGGGUAGCCAUGUUUGGCAGCGAUAAGCGCUGAAGGCAUCUAAGCGCGAAGCAUCCCCCAAGAUAAGGCCUCCCUCCCCGAUUCAGUUCGGGGGUAAGACUGCAGCGAGACUAGCUGCUUGAUAGGCCGGAUGUGUAAGGCUGGCAACAGCUUCAGCAAACCGGUACUAACCAGUCGAGAGAUUUGACCCA
rnacentral:rRNA from 1 species